rnacentral:Y_RNA from 1 species
GGCUGGUCCGAAGGUAGUGCAUUAUCUCACUUGAUUGUUCACAGUCAGUUACAGAUUGAACUCCUUGUUCUACUACUUUCCCCCCUCCUCACUACUGCACUUGACUAGUCUACA